UACGUAGGGGGCAAGCGUUAUCCGGAUUUACUGGGUGUAAAGGGAGCGUAGACGGCAGCGCAAGUCUGAAGUGAAAUCCCAUGGCUUAACCAUGGAACUGCUUUGGAAACUGUGCAGCUGGAGUGCAGGAGAGGUAAGCGGAAUUCCUAGUGUAGCGGUGAAAUGCGUAGAUAUUAGGAGGAACACCAGUGGCGAAGGCGGCUUACUGGACUGUAACUGACGUUGAGGCUCGAAAGCGUGGGGAGCAAACA
rnacentral:rRNA from 1 species